CCUACGGGAGGCAGCAGUGAGGAAUCUUGGUCAAUGGCCGCAGGGCUGAACCAGCCAAGUCGCGUGAGGGAUGACGGUCCUAUGGGUUGUAAACUUCUUUUAUAAAGGACUAAAACGAGGCACGUGUGCCUUUUUGCAUGUACUUUAUGAAUAAGGAUCGGCUAACUCCGUGCCAGCAGCCGCGGUAAUACGGAGGAUCCGAGCGUUAUCCGGAUUUCUUGGGUUUAAAGGGAGCGUAGAUGGGUUGUUAAGUCAGUUGUGAACGUUUGCGGCUCAACCGUAAAAUUGCAAUUGAUACUGGCAGUCUUGAGUACAGUUGAGGUAGGCGGAAUUCGUGGUGUAGCGGUGAAAUGCUUAGAUAUCACGAAGAACCCCGAUUGCGAAGGCAGCUUACUAAACUGUGACUGACAUUGAUGCUCGAAAGUGUGGGUAUCAAACAGGAUUAGAUACCCUGGUAGUC
rnacentral:rRNA from 1 species